CCCUAGAUGCCAGAGUGGUUAAUGGGUAUGACUCGAAUUAUCUUCGGAUAUACUAGAUAUCAUAUGGUUUCGGCCGCGUAGGUUCAAAUCCUGCUCGCGACG